GAAACAUUCCACUGAGGUGAUUUCUAAAGUCUAAGUAAAGGGAACUAUAAUGAAACCAGAGAUCAAAUUUUGAAAGGCAAAUGGCAAAGAAAGAAGAAAGAUCAUUGCCAUUAGACAGAAAGAAAAGUUGUGUCAACAAGGGCCCAGAGCAAAAUAAAAAAGGAUUUCAUUACAACUUGGGGCUGGUGAUACCUAAGGAUAAGAGGCAGAAACAGAGUAAGGAAGCUGACCUAAAGUUAAAAUGGACAGUGGAAUCAAAACAGCCCUGGAAAAGGAGUCUGAGGAUCCUUCAGUCACUAACAAGUGUGCAUCUUGAACAACUCACUUGAUCUUUCUUCGACUUCAUUUCCUCACAUGCAAAAUGAAGAGGCUUGUCUACAUCUAGUUUUGAAUUUUCUAUGGUGACUACAAGAUUCCCACUUCUGCAUGUUCAGUGUUCUUAAAUACCACCAUUCUCGUCUUUCCUCUGUAGUUGUUCAUCAUUGACAAAAGGAGAUUUGGGGUUUAAUUAGCUACAUCUGCCUAAGUAAAUUUUAAAAAUGAAGAAUGGGGUAUUUGCAACUCUCAAAAGAAUUUCAAAUACCAGAUGAAGUCCCCAUGACAUGAGGUCUUCAAAGAUGGCCAAAGUUUGGGAAGACUUUGAAAAAGCUGAGGAGAACAAUCAGUGAUUCAAUUAAGACUCCAGAGGAAUUCAUAUCAGAACCAUAUAGGUGAGGUCCUAAUUUAUGGUAAAAUCUCUUAACCUAUACUUCAAGUAAAUGGUUUAAAACAAUAUAGAGAGAUUAACAAUCCAAAUACUGAGAGCCUACUGGGUAAAAAGCACUGUCCGAGAAGCUGAAAGAAAGAUGAACACAGUGUGGACCAUGCCAGCGGGAGAUGACUGCUUUGUAAAAAACAGAAAACAAAAAACUCCAGCCCUUGAGCUGCUUGCACACCAUAGACACCUUGAGGCAAUUAGAGACUACAGCUGAUGCAGGCAAAACAAACUCAAUCAAAUCAGCUCACUAAAAGGACUAAAGCGGAUAGUCUGAGUGGAAAACCAUCAACUCAGUCCGGACUAAAAUCAGACAAUUUAGUCAGGGUGUGAAAGCAAACUACUGUUCCAUUAAUUUAACAGACAUAUCACUUUGAACCAGGUGUUUGGCUGACACUAAGCUUCAGCUAGAAAGCAGGAUCUGGCUCGUUUCAAUGUAUUUGUUCUAAAAUAAUAAGAGAAAGACCAGACAGAUGGGAAAACGAAAAUAAAAGCAAAUGACCAAGAUGAAUAUAGAAAUCAUAUCAAAUAUAAAGUAAAAGAAAGAGGAGGAAAGGAAAAUGAGAGGAUUGAAUUAGAUGAUUUCUAAAUGUCCUUUUCCCGUUCUAAAAAAAAAAAAUCCCUUGACUAUAUAUUAAAGAUCAGAAAUUUGAGAAAAUGAGUUAAGAUCAUCCAAACACCCCAAAUAACUCCAGGAUUAUACAUGGAAUAAUGUAUUUCAAAGGACAUUUAUUGAAAGUCCUAUUAAAUUAUUUCCAUUAAAAAAUUGUAAGAACUAGAGUGCCAGGUUUGAAGAUGAGUAAGACACAUUUAACAGUUACAUGAAGAACACAUGCUUACUUCUACAAACUGACAUUCUUUCCUGUGAUCACUUAGGUUACUGGCACUAAAAAUAUUCCAAGCAGAAGGGUAUUUUUCAGCCAGUUACAUAAUUGUAACAUACUUUGUUACUUUCUUUGAAAAAUAGAUUAAAUUACAUCAGAUCCAUAUACUUGACCCAAGAUUUCCAAUUUCUUUUAUAUGACAUCUUGGGGGUGGGGGACAGGGAAGAAAUGAUCUAAGAAAUAAAAUUGAAGCAUACCAUGUUUGCACCAUAAUAAAGCUUCCAAGUUUAAAGCUAAAUUAUCUCUAAAUAUUCUCCCUUAUGUGUCACCCUUAUAUUUUACCCUAGACAGCAUCACUCAGCUCUAGAAGUUUCUAUAGUAAUUUAGAAAGAUUGGAAAUGCUUCAUCUCCUGGAUGCUAAAAUAGUAUUUCCCAUGGGUUUAUUAUGAGGCAAAGCCAGUGGGUAAAACUGCAAGAUAAUUUUAAAUUAAACUAAAACCUGAUCUAGGUGAAUUAUAUUCAUCAAUGCUAACUUGAAUUUUUUAUGGCAAAAUAUCACUAUUUCUAUAUGUUGUUUGUACACAUUUAUCAUGUUGUACUCAGCACACAAUGUAAAAAUAAUAUAAGUAAUACACAAAUCCCAGUACCUUUAGAAGAAAUGGUUAUCAAACAUAUUCAGAUUCUCCAAAAAUGUACACUAAAAAUAAUGUUUUAAUAUCUUACAUAUAAA
ensembl:lncRNA